CUCUGCUUCAGAAGGUCCCGGGAACAGAGGACACUCGAGGUCGCAUCCUCAGUGUGGCCUGGAUCCUUCUCCCCUUUUGUUCUCCUGGAGAACGUCUUGCAGUAUAGCUGAUCCUGGAUGUCGGAGAGGUCACAUGUGACUCUGAGCAGUAUGUCUGGCGUGGAGGCGUAAGGCCUGGUGCCCACGGAGGAUUUCACGUGUUAACAGGAUGGGCCUGUAUACAGGAGCAACCAAGGGCCCCAGCACGGGGACACCAGCACCGGAUAGCACCUCAUAAGGACAAGACACUGAAUUUCUCCUUUGCCCUCUCAUGAAUUACUUUGGCACGUGUUUUCAUUUCUACCUGAACUUUGAGAAGCACGGACAUUCCCCCAAAUCCAUUUUCCUCGUUUGCUGGGGCAGACGCCGCUCGUUUAUG